rnacentral:rRNA from 1 species
GGAGGAAAGUAGGGGAUCGUAAGACCUUGCGCUUUUGGAGCGGCCGAUGUCUGAUUAGCUAGUUGGUGGGGUAAUGGCCUACCAAAGCUUCGAUCAGUAGCUGGUCUGAGAGGACGGCCAGCCACACUGGGACUGAGACACGGCCCAGACUCCUACGGGAGGCAGCAGUGGGGAAUUUUGGACAAUGGGCGCAAGCCUGAUCCAGCCAUGCCGCGUGAGUGAAGAAGGCCUUCGGGUUGUAAAGCUCUUUCAGCCGGGAAGAAAAGGCUGCGACUAAUAAUCGCAGUUCAUGACGGUACCGGAAGAAGAAGCACCGGCUAACUACGUGCCAGCAGCCGCGGUAAUACGUAGGGUGCGAGCGUUAAUCGGAAUUACUGGGCGUAAAGGGUGCGCAGGCGGUUUUGUAAGUCAGAUGUGAAAUCCCCGGGCUUAACCUGGGAAUUGCGUUUGAAACUACAAGGCUAGA